rnacentral:rRNA from 1 species
AUACGUAGGGUGCGAGCGUUAAUCGGAAUUACUGGGCGUAAAGCGUGCGCAGGCGGUUUUGUAAGACAGAUGUGAAAUCCCCGGGCUUAACCUGGGAACUGCAUUUGUGACUGCAAGGCUAGAGUACGGCAGAGGGGGGUAGAAUUCCACGUGUAGCAGUGAAAUGCGUAGAUAUGUGGAGGAAUACCGAUGGCGAAGGCAGCCCCCUGGGUCGAUACUGACGCUCAUGCACGAAAGCGUGGGGAGC